GAUGAAGAACGUAGUGAAAUGCGAUACGUAAUGUGAAUUGCAGAAUUCAGUGAAUCAUCGAAUCUUUGAACGCAUAUUGCGCUCUCUGGUAUUCCGGAGAGCAUGCUUGUUUGAGUAUCAGUAAACACCUCAACUUCCAUAUCUUUUUUGAAAUGGGAGUUGGACUUGAGUGAUCCCAACGCUUUUCCUCACCGAAAAGUGGCGGGUUACUUGAAAUGCAGGUGCAGCUGGACUUUUCUCUGAGCUAUAAGCAUAUCUAUUUAGUCUGCCUAAAAAACAGAUUAUUACCUUUGCUGCAGCUAACAUAAAGGAGAUUAGUUCUUGUGCUGACUGAUGCAGGAUUCACAAAGACGGCUUCGGCCGACUUUGUAAACUCGAUCUCAAAUCAAGUAAGACUACCCGCUGAACUUGAGCAUAUCAAUAAGCGGAGGA
rnacentral:misc_RNA from 1 species